rnacentral:rRNA from 1 species
AUACGUAGGGGACAAGCGUUGUCCGGAUUUACUGGGCGUAAAGGGCACGCAGGUCGGUUUUUUAAGUCAGAUGUGAAAGGUACCGGCUCAACCGGUGACAUGCAUUUGAAACUGAAAGACUUGAGUAUUGGAGAGGCAAGUGGAAUUCCUAGUGUAGCGGUGAAAUGCGUAGAUAUUAGGAGGAACACCGGUGGCGAAGGCGGCUUGCUGGAACAAAUACUGACGCUGAGGUGCGAAAGCGGUGGGGAGC